GAGACACCCUUCUGGGGCAAGACUUGCUUCAGUGGGGCUUUGGUGCUCACUGAAUCUGCCCCUUGAGUGUGUCACU
rnacentral:pre_miRNA from 1 species